rnacentral:lncRNA from 1 species
AGUCCCAAGAACUUUCUCCAGAAGGAAGAGGUGGCAGGGGUGGUCUCCAAUGAUUAUGGUCACAGGAGUGGUUCUCAAAGUGGGGGGGGGGGGGGGGGGGGGG